CCAAGACUUGCCCAAUGACUGUGAAGCUCAAAAUGCACCUGAAGAAAAUGUUGUGCAGGUGAGCGGCCAGCAGGACAAGGCAAGCUCAGGAACAGAGGUGAAUGUUGAAGGAGAACUAUUCAGACAGAGAAUAGUAAGAAGUAGGCUGGGCAGGAGAAGCACCCAGCACCAAACCUUACAGCGGGUGAAAUGUAUAGUGGACAUGAGACAUACCCAUUCUGAAAGUGAUUUGGGGAGACCUGCUGAGAAGCAGAGGCGGCGGCCCAUGAGGAGAUUCAACCAGAGGAGACCCAUUCCAACUCGCACUAAGUCAGACACCGAACUGGUGAAGCGAAAUAAGUCUGACUGAGGAGAGCCCAGCCCCCAGAGAGCUGCAGACAGGGCCUGGAGAGGGAUGGAGGAGGCCAUCGACCCAACGACGGCCACGGCACCAGACUCCAAGCUCCCCACUAUGCAGGCCACAGAAACAUGGUGCCCGUGGUUUGUGACCCUCCUCCUCAAAGCGAUCCGCCUCCUCCUCAAAGCGAUCCGCCUCCUCCUCAAAGCGACCCGUCUCCUCCUCAAAGUGACCCGUCUCCUCCUCAAAGCGAUCCGCCUCCUCCUCAAAGCGAGCAGCCUUCUCUUCAAAGCGGCCCGUCUCCUCAAAGUGACUCGCCUCCACAAUGACCCGCCUCCUCCUCAAAGACUUUCGCCUCCUCAAAGCGACCCUCAAAUGGCCUCUCCUAUGCCCUUAAAUAUUUUCACGUAGGUUUUAUUUGUAUAGUGCAUAUAAAUAAUAAACCUUGCCUCUCCUGUA